UCCCUGGUGGUCCAGGGGUUAGGACUCUGCACUGCCACUGCAGGGGUGGUGCGCUUCCAGGCAUGGGUUUGAUUCCUGGUUGGGGAA
rnacentral:tRNA from 1 species